rnacentral:lncRNA from 1 species
GGUCACUCCAACCUGUGGCAAAAAUUUUCCCUAGGAUUCAAAUUAGAAAUAAGUCAAUGAGUUAACUAAAGUGAGACUGAACCAAUACAUGUGCAAGAAGUAGCUCUGAAAUUAACAAUAUAGAACAUAUAUUAAAGUCCUGAUUUAUCACAAUUAGUAAGGGAUGAUAGCAACUGGGAUCCAACCACUUUAUCAAACCUAUAUUGAUAUCCCUGAAAAUAGAGGCAACUAUUCAAAAGAAGUAAAUUGUAGCUCAGUCCAACAUUUUUAUUUACCUCACUUUCAUUUGCCAAUUUAGUAACUGGAGAUAAACCAAAUUGAUGGGUUAAGAUGACUUUGUUCUGAUUAAUUUUAUGGUAAUUCUGAGGGCUUCCAUUUUAAAUUAAUUGUUUGAAUACUAAAUUAUGCAGCUUUAUGAUCCAGGAGAUAAGCAGCAGCUCUAAAGAUGCCUCUGAGACUUAAAAGAGACAGCAUUAGAAGCUCAUUAUUGCCGGCACAUUUAACAUGGUUAAAGCAGGGGA